rnacentral:rRNA from 1 species
UACGAAGGGGGCUAGCGUUGCUCGGAAUCACUGGGCGUAAAGGGUGCGUAGGCGGGUCUUUUAAGUCGGGGGUGAAAGACGGUAGCUUAACUAUCGCAGUGCCUUUGAUACUGAUAGGCUUGAAUAUACUUGAGGUAGGCGGAAUGUGACAAGUAGCGGUGAAAUGCAUAGAUAUGUCACAGAACACCAAUUGCGAAGGCAGCUUACUAAAGUAUGAUUGACGCUGAGGCACGAAAAGCGUGGGGGAUCAAAACAGG